AAUGAACGCUGGCGGCAUGCCUAAUACAUGCAAGUCGAACGAAGCGUCCGGGCACUGUGGCGUCUGGGUGUGUAACGCGAGGGAAUCUGCCCUCGUGGUUGGAAUAACUCUCCGAAAGGCGUACCAAUACCGGACGAUGACGAAAGCCCCAUGAUUUAUCGCCCAAGGAUGAUCCCGCGUAGGAUUAGAUAGUUGGUGGGGUAAUGGCCCACCAAGGGGACCAUCCUUAGCUGGUUUGAGAGUAUGAUCAGCCACACUGAGACUGAGACACGGCCCGGACUCCUACGGGAGGCAGCAGUGGGGAAUAUUGGACCAUCGGCGAAAGCCUGAUCCAGCACUGCCGCGUAAGUGAUGAAGGCCUUAGGGUUGUAAAGCUCUAUUACCCGGGAUGAUAAUGACAGUACCGAGAGAGUAAGCCCCGGCUAACUCCGUG
rnacentral:rRNA from 1 species